rnacentral:lncRNA from 1 species
GGUGGCUCGGGCCUAUUUAAAGUUUCUAUCAAAAGUUCCGUAUUUUUUUGUUAUUUUAUUCUUUACAGAAAAAAUAGGGGGUCACGGACCAUUUAAGCUCAAAAUUUUACUUUUAAACAGGUAUGUAAAAGGGACCAUUUUUCAAUGAAAUGAUAGGGAAAAUAGAGGUGUUGACAUAUUUUUAUCAGAAUAUCAAAAAAACGUUCUAUGACACUUAUUCCAAAACUGUAAUAUAAAAAGCUGAAAUAUAGCUUCAAAGAAUGAGCAAAUAAAAAACAUAGGUCACCGAUAAGGAACAAAAAAUAUUUUGCCUU